AUUAAGGUGUGAAAUGAACACUCUUCUUCUGUUUCCAAGCAGAUGAGCAAAGAAAUAAAAAUAUAUAUAAAAUAUAUAAUAUAUAAAAGUAUUGCAGUGAUGAAACAAAACCAAAAAUGAGAUACUCUAAACAUGGUUAAUCUUUCAUAAAAGAGAAGUCUCUGAGCAAUUAACUAAUGCCAGUUGGAACAGGAAGUCAUAAGGAUUAAAAGACGAGCACUGUCAGUCAAUCAGCUGCAGUUACAGUUUGUAUUUAGAGGAACACUGGUACCAAUCUUUUGUCCAUGAGAGCUUUUUGUAGUAAGAGCAGUUUGGAAGCUUUAGGAAGUAACUAUCAACCAGAGAAGAACUGCUUAAAUUCGAAUUAGAAUGGAAGGUACUGUAAUGACUGCAAUCAAACAGUCAAUUUAGUUUCUCCAUUUACAAAUGUAACGAGCCAGCGAAGGCUAAAGUCGCUUUUCCUUACGUUUUAUUCUAUGUAUUUGAGAGAGUUAAUUUUAAAUGGGCAGAUGAAUUUAAGGUGUUAAAAGUGACGUCUAAAUUACGUAUGAGACAGGAUGGAAUGGGAAAUAAAAGAAUUUAAGUUUGUCUUAUUCGGUUGCUUACCCUUUUUGCUUUCGAACGCGUCGGUGUGUCGUGAACAUAGCGCGAGGGUGCAUCGGAUAGAAAGACUUCAACAUCAUCAGGCACUUCUUCAAGAAAGUUGGAAGGAACCAGCCCCUUUUGUCCGUUAAGUUCACCCUGCAACACCGUGAAAUGUUUUAGUUAAAGCAAGUGUAGGUUCCCAAGAAGGGAAGGAAAUACUUUUGCCUGUCGCAAAGCUGGUGAGGAAGAGGAAAUGCCCAUCUAAGCUUGCUAAGCCUGGCACCUCUCCCACUGGGCUCUGAACACCCCCAGGACUCCCUGUGGCCAACAAACCAAGACACUCGGGCCUUGAACAACCUGAGCAAACUGUGAAGCUUUGAACUACACGACUUCAAAGGUACACACACAUAUGGCAUAACAACCAUGUUAUGUACUGAGCUGUAUUAAAUAAAACCUACAGAGGAUAUUCCUUGAUUUUUUUUGGACAAGAACCGUGAAUCUACUUGUACAGAAGCCAUAAGCUUUGUCAUACACAUCUGCUCCAAACCAUUUGACUUGUGUUUGUAAUCCUGAACUACUCCUUUGCACACCCACCCCAAAUGGAGAGCAGUGCCCACCAGUCCUGACCAUGCUGGGUACCCACAGCACCCGGUUCCGGCCGUACCUCUACAUCCACGUUAGGAGAACUUUCUCUUGGAUCAUAAUCAUACAGUGCCACCAUCCUUCUUGUAGUCACUGGCUGUUGUCUGCCACUCCUUCUGCUUCUCUCUGCUCCAGUCACAGGGGGAGGAAGGUUCUCUUUCAGAUCACACUUAAACCUCAAUCACCCUUGGACUACCAGCAGCUGCUCCUUCUGCCUCUCUCAUUUCUGCCUGUUUUGCUGCAGAUCAAAUGGAUGCAAGGCUGCAGGAGGAAACACUUCUGCUGAUUCCACAGAAAUAUCUGCUGGCUUUUUAAAACCAGAUCAGCAAGCUGAACAAAUUUGCCUUGCAGCUGCACUGUCAGAAGAUGGGGCGAGCUGGGAUGGAGGGCUGGGAAAAAACACUUCCAGAGCCCAACCCCUGACAGAGCCAAUUUGUCCUCCGUGCCCUGUUUAAAGGCAGUGUGUGUAUUUUACACCAAACUGACAGAAAAGGGAACAGAAAUACAUGACUUCUGGACUUGGAAUCAGUCUAAAUUGUUUAUUAUCUGGGAGUGCCCAGCAUUUAAAAAAUACAGCAGCUCUGCUUUGUAUGAGGGCACAACACUCAAUGCUCCUGGGGGACCUUUGCAGCUCCUCUCUGGAGCAGUUUCUCCUGCAGGGUUUGUGGCAAUGGACACAGGGAGCUUCAGUCACAAUUACAGUCUUCACACUAAAUCUCUAAUUAAGUCUGGCCCUAACUAUCUACAGAAACUUUGAGAUUUUUGUCCACCUUGUAAUUAUUUUUAAGCCAUUAGUACUAGAUUCCAGAUGCAGCAAGAUUUACAGCCUGAACCUCUGGAGGAAAAAACCCCCUUGGAUUCCAGUCACACAAGGGACAAAGGAGACCCUGUUUGCAAAACUGGGUCCUUCAUUUCCCUUGUUUUCAGAUCUCACCUUUAUGAUCUGUCCUUCUUUAAAGGGCAGCUCCUCCUCUGCGGCGUCGGGAUUUGGGGACAUGGUCAGCGGAUCGUAGUCAAAGAGUGCAACAAAUAUUCGAGUGGAAAUAUCUUCUGUGCCAGGAUCUGUUUCGGAUUCUUCAUAAAGAUCUGGAGAAAGAUGGUCAUGACCACCAUAGCCAUCUGGGAAAUUAAAGUCAGAAAAGAACAAUUCAGUAAUGCAAGUUGGCCCCAUCUUUCGACUAUUCCAGUUAAUAUUUGAAACACGUUUGGCAUUUCAGGGAAAAAAAAAUCCCCAAACCUCAAUGCAUGUCCUAUAAAGCUUGCUGGGUUGGUCUUUUUUUUUUUUUUUUUUUUAAUUAGCAAGCUGGUACUUUUUUAAAAUGUGUAUAAAAUCUACAUGCACUGAAAAUGGUGUUAUCUCCUACCCCACACUGACAUUUACACUUGUGGAUACAGCUCAGGUAGGAAAGCCAUUUUUGUCAGAUUUAGUAGAGUUUACCAUAAAUUAAUGGAGCAUGUUAGGAGUGACAUAACAAUGAGUCUGACAGGCUUUUUCAUUCCUGAAAAAAUAACCAUGCUUUGGAUCCACUUGUUUUCCAGCACAGCUGUCUCUGCUCUUCAUGGACACUAGAAAGCACAUCCCACUGUGUUGACAAACCAUGUUUUAGAUACCAGGUUAAAAAUAAAACAUGGUUGCAACCUCUCCAGACAGGGAAGAAAGGAAGGUAUUUCAGCAGUGUUAGUCCUGCCAGGGUUGGAACUACACUGUCUAUGAUUUUGUUGUAACACUGUCAAUAGUUAACAUAGUGCCCAAACCAACCCAAACCACUAACAAAUGUGUUAAAAUCCAGGAGAAAUGAUGAUUGCAUGUAACUAUAAUCUCAUUAGGAAAGACUAUCCUUGAAUAUCCCAACACUUGACACUGAAUUCUGUCCACUGCAGGGUAACAGGUCAAUUAGGACAUUAAAAAUGAGAAUGAACAUUUUGUCUCAUAUACCUUUCAAACUUUUCAAAUGACCUGGAGAAUGUGUUUAGUCCAUGAUUUGCCAACAUACUUAAGGAUGGACUUCAGAAAACCAGAUUGGAAGAUUAGGUCAAAGUGGCUAACACUGACUGUUCUGACUGAUGGGUUUAAAAGGCUUUUAAUUUUGGGUUGAAAGAGGAUGUGGCAGCACUUUCCCAAACAGUCUUUUUCAAGACACAUGAACUUGAAGUCCCAAAAAUUAAAGCCCUCAAAAUCACAAGCCACUUGUGAAUAUCUUGGCUUAUUGAAAAGUCCCUCUGGCUUCACUGGGAGUCACAUACUUUUGUUCUUUGCUGAAUCAACAUUCAUCAUCAAGUUUGCAAGAUCCUUCACAAUGAAUAAAUUGAGAAAGUGAUGUUAUGAAUUAUGAUGAAAAUGUAGUUCAACUGUAUCAAUUUUUUCCAAUUUUCAUGUUAAUAAAAUUUUUACUGUAAUCACCUCUUGCAAAUUAAAGACUCACAGUUUUUUUAA